UGGGGAAUUUUGGACAAUGGGCGAAAGCCUGAUCCAGCAAUGCCGCGUGUGUGAAGAAGGCCUUCGGGUUGUAAAGCACUUUUGUCCGGAAAGAAAUCCUUGGCUCUAAUACAGUCGGGGGAUGACGGUACCGGAAGAAUAAGCACCGGCUAACUACGUGCCAGCAGCCGCGGUAAUACGUAGGGUGCAAGCGUUAAUCGGAAUUACUGGGCGUAAAGCGUGCGCAGGCGGUUUGCUAAGACCGAUGUGAAAUCCCCGGGCUCAACCUGGGAACUGCAUUGGUGACUGGCAGGCUAGAGUAUGGCAGAGGGGGUAGAAUUCCACGUGUAGCAGUGAAAUGCGUAGAGAUGUGGAGGAAUACCGAUGGCGAAGGCAGCCCCCUGGCCAAGUACUGACGCUCAUGCACG
rnacentral:rRNA from 1 species